rnacentral:lncRNA from 10 species
AAAUGGAGAACAGCUGCUCACGCUCGUCGUCUGACAUCAGCUAUUUCUCAGGAUGACCCUGCGAGACAGGCCAGGGUCAUUAGACCCAAUUUGGUUCUCAGCAAAUAUGUGUUUAUUCCUGCAUGCGUGGGCCACAGGCUGGUUUCUUGGGUGCAAUGAAUAGCUGCAGGUUUAUUAGGGUGUCUUUUUAGAUGGAUGUAUGUUUCCCGAUGUCUAUAGAACACUCCGGACCCCGGAGAGUGAAGACUCUGCCUGUCGGACUUGCUUUGAGAAGAUCCUUCUCCACCUCCCCAUGGCAGAAGUUGCUUCACAGAGGGGAACAGUUUUAUGGAUGUGGCUGAGACCUUAAACUUGAGGCAACCCAUCUGAGGUGGCAUCCAGAGGAGACUGGCUGGCCCCUCCUUCACCUUGGAUGUAGUGCUGUUUCUAGGAUCUCUUUUCAAUCAGCAAAACAGGGGAUGUUCCAAGAGGGUGUGGAUUCCCUGCCAUCCCACAUGGUCAAGUGGAGGGGACGGGAAAAAGCUAUGAAGGGUUUGUGACCACACAGACUCUCCUGGCCCCCUGUCCUUUUGGAAAGAAGACAGGGAUGAAAUAUAAUCAAGCAAUUAACCACCCCCAUCAUCACCAAGAACAACAGUAUCAACAAGAAGAACAGGGACAACAAAACCCACGGAUGAAACAUUCCUUUCUCAGCUCAGAUCUUAUCUGGUGCGUUCUCUCUCUGCUCUGUCUUGGUGUGUGGUUUAGAGAAACAUGGACAACGCUGUUUGGAAGAACAGAACUUGCCCUCUGCUGAAGGUGCUGCCUCACCAUGAGGUUAUACUCCUACCUCAGGGAUCACAAGGUGGCUCCCUGAACAGCUCCUUGCUGCCAUUUUGUGAUGACACCAUCUUUAACACCUGGCUUCUGAAGUCUCAUGGAGAGGUCUCUAUCCAGGGAGUACAUUGGAUACUUUCGCGGUCUCUGUGGACGGGGAGACAGCACACUGGAGACUAACACCAUGUUGGCCUGGACAUGAUGCAUGACCCUUACGCCCAUGUUCCAUUGUCUGUUCCAGGGAAACAGCUGGAUUCAGACUGAACUGGCAGACACUGCACGUGUUCUACAGAGAAGAAAGAGGAUGAUGGUAAAGCAGACUGCAGUCUUCAGGCCUGGAGCAGAGAAGGGAGAGUUCCUGCUCUAGUAGCCAGUCCUGCCAGGGUUCUGGCUGUGCCGGGACAGUGAAUGGCCACUCCGUCCCAGAUGAGCUGCAGGAAGCGUUUCGAUGUCAUGUGGAGGUGAUGGCGAUUUUCAACUCAUUCCCGUUACAAACAGCCGACCUUCCUACCGAGUUCAAGUACCUUCUGCCUGGCCUGGAAGAACAAUAUCUCUCUGUCUCCCUCUUCCACUGGCCCUCACCUGCCUUCCCCUGAACAUGCAUUUUGCCUGACAGGAGACAGAGGCAGUUGAGAUGGAGUCUUGCUAUAUGGCCCAGCUGGUAAUGCCUAGAUUCUUGAGUCCCUCCCUGGCUCAUCCCUGGGAGCAGCACUGAACCCCUUGUCUGACACCUGUCUGGAAAUGGAGCCUGCACAUUGACCCUAGCCAUGUGUGGUCUUGUUACUAAGUGUUAGCCAGUGAGAGAACAUACAAGAGGAGGCCCAUGUUGAUUCAGAGGAUGAAUGAGAGAUGCUUGCAGCUUGGUCCAGGAGGCCAGCAGGACCAGAGAGAAGACCACAGCGACACAUGGGGAUGGCUGUCCCACAGGCAGAAAUGAGCAGCCGGGAGGAAGCCCAGGCAGCCAGCCACCCAGCUCCCUCCACAUCGUGGCCCUAGAACGGAGUCUUGAAGAAUAAGAAGCCACAGCUUGUCAGGGAAUCAGGCUGGAAAAAUGUUAUGAGACUGAGUAAGACCAGAGAUUCCUCAGCAGUGCCUGGAGAAGACCAGGAGAGGAAGCAGAAGACCCUCCUCAAAGAAGCAGCCUUCACCUCCAGACCUCCCAGCGGGACUUAGACAAUGGGGUUAGGCAGUCACAUGUCUGCACGUGGAAACUUUCUGGGACUGUGCUUGGAUCCUGGCUCUGCCUUUUACUAGCCAUGUGACCUUGGGAAAAUCACUUGACUUCUCCGUGCAGGAUUCCUCAUCUGUAAAAAUGGUCUAAGAUUAGGAGCCACCUCAAGGUUGUUGUAGGAAUUAAAUUAAUUCAUGUUUAUAAAGUGCUUUGAACAGCGUUUGGCACAUGGAGAAUUAAAUGAGCAAACGGAAGAGCAGCAACCCUGAGUUACAUUUCUCAAGACACCGGGGCUCUUGAUGGCACAGCAGCAGCUUGCUAGAGCUUGGUAAAGAGACUUGGGCCUGGUACCUGAAGGGCAAUUCCUUGGCCAUGACAUUGUAGGGAAAGACCUCUAUGGGUGUUGAAAAGACAAGGCGAGGACAAGAAGAGUUGAAAAGGAGCUGUUCUGAAGCCACCUGGCUGUGGAUGGAGGAAGCCACAUGUAGCUUAGGUAGCCUGCUAUUGUAAUUUUUUCUGCAACUGAAGAAUUCGAAAUGGGUUUGGUGGGUAGCGAAGGGCAGAAUCUGGCUUCAAGGUGACAGAGUUUGCAUAGAGAUGGCCUUCUUGAGCAAAGGUAGUGACUCCUACAUUUUUUUUUUUUGUAGAGUUGUGAUACCCAUGAGUUAGUCAGCUUGGGCUAUCAUAACAAAAUACCACACAUUGGUUGGCUUAAACAACAGAAAUUCAUUUUCCUGUAAUUCUGGAGGCUGGAAGUCCAAGAUCAAGGUGACGACAGAGUUGGGUUUCCUCUGAAGCCUCUCUCCUUGGUUUUCAGAUGGGUGUCCUCUUGCUGUCUCUUCAUGUGACUGUCCCUCUGCAUGUGUGCCCCUGGGGACUCUUUCUUAUCUUAUAGUGACACUAGUUCUAUUGGAUUGAAGUGUACCCAUACGACCUCAUUUAAACUUAAUUACAUAUUGUAAGGCCCUAACUUCAAAUACAGUCACAUCCUGAGGUACUGUGUAUUAGGGCUUCAACAUAUAAAUUUUGGGGCAAUCCAGUUCAGCCCAUAAAAUCCCUUUUUGGUUGCUUGAUUCUGUUUAUUUGGUGUCAUGCCUUCCUUUUCCUAAAGAACUUCAUGAAUAGAAUUACUUUCUAAGUGAAAGGAACAAAACUGAUUUUUAUUAAAAAUUAUUUUGAGAUGCUUGUGACAAAUUUUGAAGUAAGUGAAGAUUUUCCUGGAGCUUCUACAAAAUCCUGGCUGAGAAUCCCUGCUUUCUGGACAGUUGAGAAGGAAAUACACUUAGUACAGCUGUUAGAGAGAUAUAGUUGCAACCACUGAGUGCUUAUUAUCUGCCAACUUAAAUAUAUUGCCCAAGGGAAUAACAAAUAUUCUAGUGUUCUUGUUAAGUAUAUUGUCUAAGGUCACACAGCUCUUAAACAACAGCUUCAGGAUUUGAACCUGGAAUCUAUCUGACUCCUAAGUCCAGAUGCUGUUCACCACAUUAGGUUGAAGCAUGGCCAGUGUUCAUAACAUACAACUAUGUCUCCAUAUCUUUUGCUAACCAAUGUUCUUGUAUGUGCAUACCUUACAGGGCAGCCAUUCACCACAAGCCCUACUAGAUGGCUUCCUGUAAUAAGGGUAGAACAGUAGUACUCUCCUUUUGAGAAGUUAUUUGUAAUUUUGUUGGUGGGCUGACAUUUAGGCCCUGCUCUCCAGCCCCAGAGGGGAUCCCAUAACCUAGAUCAGGCCAAUGAUGAUUAUCUCCGUGACUGUAGUGGCUGGUCCAGCGGGGAGGGUCAGGCAGGUAAGCUGGCCCAACCUGAGUCCUUCUUGAGGAUUUUAGAAACUGAAGGUAGGAGAGAAAAAUUCUCUCUUUUCUUCUGGGGAACGGGAUGAAGGUGGUGGGUAGGCAGAGCUGUUGGGAUGUGGAUCCAGGGAUUCUGGAAGUCCUGUCCUCCACCAUGUAAAGAAUACAUCCUGCAGAAGGAGAGAAGGGAGCCAGCACACAGAGAAGCAGAGUCAGGAGAUGGAGAAGGAGAAUCCUGAGAGCCUGAAGGUCCCUGGGUCCAGCCAUUGUCAAGGCCGAGUUCUACCGUCCUUAAGUUGUUUACCUUUCUUUCUUGCUUGCUUCUGUUAGAAGAUGAACACUCAAUGAAAAAUCACCAAACAUCUGAGGAAAGCCAUCAAAAUGAAAUAAACGAAACACACAAGUUCCUAAACACAAGUGAACAGCGUGGGCUGGGUUUUUGUCGCUUGGAACUGGAAACGCUGACGAUAAUGCUGACCUCUGAGCAGACCCACGUGAGGGGCAGCUGUGGUGUGGUGUGAUGAUGCUGGGAUAGGCACUCAGAUGGUUGAGUCUGAGUUUGGCUCUGAUAUUAUAUCAACUGCAUGGGCAGCUGUGGUGUGGUGUGAUGAUGCUGGGAUAGGCACUCAGAUGGUUGAGUCUGAGUUUGGCUCUGAUAUUAUAUCAACUGCAUGGGCAGCUGUGGUGUGGUGUGAUGAUGCUGGGAUAGGCACUCAGAUGGUUGAGUCUGAGUUUGGCUCUGAUAUUAUAUCAACUGCAUGGGCAGCUGUGGUGUGGUGUGAUGAUGCUGGGAUAGGCACUCAGAUGGUUGAGUCUGAGUUUGGCUCUGAUAUUAUAUCAACCGCAUCAUUUUGGGGAAGACACAAUUUCUCAGAAUUUUAUUUAGUUGUAAAAUAAAGAUAAUGAUAUUACAUGCUCUGUCUACCAUCUAGAGUUUUUGUCAAGACAAAC